AAAUGAACGGAUAAAUGGCCGGAUUGCAAAUCCGUGUACACCGGUUCGAUUCCGGU
rnacentral:tRNA from 1 species